rnacentral:rRNA from 1 species
GUUAAAAAGCUCGUAGUUGGAUUUCUGGCGGGGACCCAAGUACCCCUGGUGGGUGUGCUCGGGCCCGGCCAUCCUUCUGUAAACUUUCGCGCGUCCUUCACCGGUCGGCAAAGGGAUCAGAUAAUUUACCUUGAGAAAAUUAGAGUGUUUCAGGCAGGCUUAGCCGGAAUACAUUAGCAUGGAAUAAUGGAAUAGGACUGAGGUCUCGUUGUUGGUUACGCGGACUACAGUAAUGAUUAAUAGGGACAGUUGGGGGCAUUAGUAUUUAUUAGCUAGAGGUGGAAUUCUCUAAUUUGAUAAAGACUAACUUAUGCGAAAGCAUUUGCCAAGGAUGUUUUCAUUAAUCAAGAACG